UAGUCAUAUGCUGUCUCAAAGAUUAAGCCAUGCAUGUCUAAGUGUAAGCAAUUGUACACGGUGAAACUGCGAAUGGCUCAUUAAAUCAGUUAUCGUAUAUUUGAUAGUACCGUCACGUACUUGGAUACCAGUGGUAAUUCUAGAGCUAAUACAUGCCACAAUCCCCGACUUUGAAGGGGUGCGUAUAUCAGGCAAAAAACCAAUGCCCUCUGGGCUCUUUGGUGAAUCAUGGUAUCCAAGCGAAUCGCAUGGCCUUGAGCCUGCGAUGGUUCAUUCAAAUUUCUGCCCUAUCAACUUUCGAUGGUAAGGUAUUGGCCUACCAUGGUAUCAACGGGUAACGGGGAAUUAGGGUUCGAUUCCGGAGAGGGAGCCUGAGAAACGGCUACCACAUCCAAGGAAGGCAGCAGGCGCGCAAAUUACCCAAUCCCAACACGGGGAGGUAGUGACAAUAAAUACUGAUACAGGGCUCUUUUGGGUCUUGUAAUUGGAAUGAGUGCAACUCAAAUCCCUCAACGAGGAACAAUUGGAGGGCAAGUCUGGUGCCAGCAGCCGCGGUAAUUCCAGCUCCAAUAGCGUAUAUUAAAGUUGUUGCAGUUAAAACGCUCGUAGUUGAAUCUUGGGCCAGGCCGGCCGGUCCGCCUAACCGCGUGCACUGGUUCGGCCAGGCCCUUCCCUCUGGGGAACCGCAUGCCCUUUAGUGGGUGUGUCGGGGAACCAGGACUUUUACUUUGAAAAAAUUAGAGUGUUCAAAGCAGGCCUAUGCUCAGAUACAUUAGCAUGGAAUAAUGAAAUAGGACGUUGCGGUCCUAUUUUGUUGGUUUCUAGAACCGCCGUAAUGAUUAAUAGGGACAGUCGGGGGCGUCCGUAUUCAGCCGCGAGAGGUGAAAUUCUUAGACCGGCUGAAGACGAUCUACUGCGAAAGCAUUCGCCAAGGAUGUUUUCAUUAAUCAGGGAACGAAAGUUGGGGGAUCGAAGACGAUCAGAUACCGUCGUAGUCUCAACCGUAAACUAUGCCGACUAGGGAUCGGGCGGCGCUCAAUUGUUGACCCGCCCGGCACCUUACGAGAAAUCAAAGUUUUUGGGUUCUGGGGGGAGUAUGGUCGCAAGGCUGAAACUUAAAGAAAUUGACGGAAGGGCACCACAAUGGCGUGGAGCCUGCGGCUUAAUUUGACUCAACACGGGGAACCUCACCAGGUCCAGACACAAUGAGGAUUGACAGAUUGAGAGCUCUUUCUUGAUCUUGUGGGUGGUGGUGCAUGGCCGUUCUUAGUUGGUGGAGUGAUUUGUCUGCUUAAUUGCGAUAACGAACGAGACCUUCUCCUGCUAAAUAGCCAGGCCGGCUUCGGCCGGUCGUGCGCUUCUUAGAGGGACUGUCGGCUCAAGCCGAUGGAAGUUGGAGGCAAUAACAGGUCUGUGAUGCCCUUAGAUGUUCUGGGCCGCACGCGCGCUACACUGACGGAGCCAACGAGUGCACCUCCUUGUCCGAGAGGGCUGGGUAAUCUUGUUAAACUCCGUCGUGCUGGGGAUAGAGCAUUGCAAUUGUCGCUCUUGAACGAGGAAUGCCUAGUAAGCGCGCGUCAUCAGCGUGCGUUGAAUACGUCCCUGCCCUUUGUACACACCGCCCGUCGCUACUACCGAUCGGAUGCAUCAGUGAGGCGUUCGGACUGGCCCAGGCCGGUCGGCAACGACUAUCCAGGGCCGGAAAGUUCGUCAAACUUGUGCAUCUAGAGGAAGUAAAAGUCGUAACAAGGUCUCCGUAGGUGAACCUGCGGAGGGAUCAUUACCGAGCGCGCGGUCCCCUUGCGGGACCGUCCUCAAAUCCUCUGUGUACCGUACCUCUUGUUUGCCUCGGCGGGUCAGGUCCCCGUGGCCCCCCUCCUACGUGGGGGGAGCGCCCGCCGGUGGCCCAUCUAAACCAGUCUGAAAAACAGCAUUCAGUCAGGCCCUCUGGGUUUGAAUUUGGCACAACUUUCAACAAUGGAUCUCUUGGCUCCGGCAUCGAUGAAGAACGCAGCGAAAUGCGAUAGCUAGCGUGAAUUGCAGAUUUUAGUGAAUCAUCGAGUCUUUGAACGCACAUUGCGCCCCUUGGCAUGCCUUGGGGCACACCUGUUCGAGCGUCGUUCUAACCAUCAGGCCUUUGGGCCUGGACAUGGGGUGCACCCCGCCUCGCGGCGGCGGUGGCUCUAAAAGGAAUCGGCGGCUUUGUCACGCCCCGGGGCGCUGUAGCAGGCGUCUCCGCGGGAGCGGCUGGGCCGGCCGUUAAAACCGGUACAUCGUACCUCUUGGUCGACCUCGAAUCAGGUGGGGAUACCCGCUGAACUUAAGCAUAUCAGUAAGCGGAGGAAAAGAAACCAACCGGGAUUGCCCUAGUAACGGCGAGUGAAGCGGCAAAAGCUCAGAUUUGAAAUCUGGCCCCCUAGGGGGUCCGAGUUGUAAUCUGGAGAGGAUGCUUCGGCGUUGGCGCCGCCCUAGGUUCCCUGGAACGGGACGUCGUAGAGGGUGAGAACCCCGUACGUGGGCGGAUGCCACCGCCGUGUGAAGCUCCCUCGGCGAGUCGAGUUGCUUGGGAAUGCAGCUCAAAUUGGGAGGUAAAUUCCUUCUAAAGCUAAAUACCGGCCGGAGACCGAUAGCGCACAAGUAGAGUGAUCGAAAGAUGAAAAGCACUUUGGAAAGAGAGUGAAAAAGCACGUGAAAUUGUUGAAAGGGAAGCGCUUGCAGCCAGACGUGGCCGCCGUCGCUCGGUGGGGCCCCGCGCCCCGCCUACGCUUCGGCGGGCAGGCCAGCGUCAGCUCGGGUGGCCGUAGAAGCGCGCGGGAACGUAGCACCCUCCGGGGUGUGUUAUAGCCUGCGCCGGAUGCGGCCCGCCUGGGCUGAGGUCCCGCGCUUUUGCGAGGACGCUGGCGUAAUGGUGGUAAGCGGCCCGUCUUGAAACACGGACCAAGGAGUCUUACAUCCGCGCGAGUGUUUGGGCUUUAAACCCCGGACGCGCAAUGAAAGUGAAUGGAGGUGGGAACCCUCGCGGGUGCACCAUCGACCGAUCCAAAUGUCCUCGGACGGAUUUGAGUAUGAGCGCGGAUGCGGGGACCCGAAAGAUGGUGAACUAUGCCUAAGCAGGGCGAAGCCAGAGGAAACUCUGGUGGAGGCUCGCAGCGGUUCUGACGUGCAAAUCGAUCGUCAAAUUUGGGUAUAGGGGCGAAAGACCAAUCGAAC
rnacentral:rRNA from 1 species